rnacentral:lncRNA from 1 species
UGAGACAGGGUUUCUCUGUAUAGCCCUGGCUGUCCUGGAACUCACUUUGUAGACCAGGCUGGCCUCGAACUGAGAAAUCCGCCUGCCUCUGCCUCCUGAGUGCUGGGAUUAAAGGCGUGCGCCACCACGCCCGGCUUAAUCUCUCUCUUAAUUUGUCUGUCUUCCUUCCUUCCUUCCUUCCUUUCUUUCUUUCUUUCUUUCUUUCUUUCUUUCUUUCUUUCUUUCUCUUUCUCCUUUUUUUUUGAGUCACCAUCUUACUAUUAUCUUAUCAGGAACUAUUGAGAUCUCUGCCUUGGGCUCUGAAGUGAUAAGGAUUUCAGGUGUAAUACAGUGUUUGGCUGUUUAAUUAGUCUUGCUAAGCUAGAAUUUUUAAUUGUUGCAAGAGUGCUGGAAUACAUUUAAAAAUGAAUAACUAUACAGUCUUAAAAUAAUCACUAUUUAAAAAUUACACUUCGGGUUGGAGAGGUGUCUCAGUGGUUAAGAGCACUGAUUGCUCUUCCAGAGGUCCUGAGUUCAAAUCCCAGCAACCACAUGGUGGCUCACAACCGUCUGUAAUGGGAUCUGAUGCCCUUUUCCGGUGUGUCUGAAGACAGCUACAGUGUACUUAUAUAUAAUAAAUAAAUCUUUUUUUAAAUUAAACUUCUUCCAAAAAGUUCAGUGCCAAUCAUUUAGUGUCAGAGGUAAGUUGUAUACACGAACAAUUAUAAGAAUGCAGAGUCACACAGGCCCUGUCCUAUUAGCGUGAACUCUAUUUAAACUAUGAUAUCAGUUACUGUUAUUAUAUCAGUAAAUAAAGUACAAAGCUGCAUGGUUGUAAUCAGUAGAUUCAGACAACACAUUUGUAGGAACCUCCAUUUAUCUGUGAUUAGAAAUCUUUAACUCUAGCACUCUGAGGGCAGAGGCCAGCCUGGUCUACAUAGAGAGCUCUAGGACAACCAGAGCUAGCCAGAGAAAUCACGUCUCAAAAAACCAAACUAGCCUGGCAUGGUGGAUCACGCCUUUAAUCCCAGCACUUGGGAGGCAGAGGCAGGCAGAUUUCUGAGUUCGAAGCCAGCCUGGUCUACAGACUGGGUUCCAGGACAGCCAAGGCUACACAGAGAAACUCUGUCUCGAAAAACCAAAAAAACCAAAACAAAACAAAAAACUAUCUGGAAACACCCUCCCCCCCC